GACGAACGCUGGCGGCGUGCUUAACACAUGCAAGUCGAGCGGUAAGGCCCUUUCGGGGGUACGACGAGCGGCGAACGGGUGAGUAACACGUGGGUGACCUGCCCUCAGCUCUGGGAUAAGCCUGGGAAACCGGGUCUAAUACCGGAUAUGACUCCAUGUCGCAUGUUGUGGGGUGGAAAGCCUUGUGCGGCUGAGGAUGGGCCCGCGGCCUAUCAGCUUGUUGGUGGGGUGAGGCCUACCAAGGCGACGACGGGUAGCCGGCCUGAGAGGGCGACCAGCCACACUGGGACUGAGACACGGCCCAGACUCCUACGGGAGGCAGCAGUGAGGAAUCUUGCGCAAUGGGCGAAAGCCUGACGCAGCGACGCCGCGUGGAGGAUGAAGUC
rnacentral:rRNA from 1 species